rnacentral:rRNA from 1 species
UACGUAGGGACCGAGCGUUGUCCGGAUUCAUUGGGCGUAAAGCGCGCGUAGGCGCCUCGCGAGUCGGUUGUGAAAUCCCGGGGCUCAACCCCGGGACUGCGUCCGAUACUGCGAGGCUGGAGGUAGGUAGGGAAGAUCGGAAUUCCUGGUGUAGCGGUGAAAUGCGCAGAUAUCAGGAGGAACACCGGUGGCGAAGGCGGAUCUCUGGGCCUUACCUGACGCUGAGGCGCGAAAGCUAGGGGAGCGAACAGG